rnacentral:rRNA from 1 species
GACGAACGCUGGCGGCGUGCUUAACACAUGCAAGUCGAACGGUGAAGCGCCUUCCUUUUUGGUGGGUGUGGAUGAGUGGCGAACGGGUGAGUAACACGUGAGUAACCUGCCCCCUUCUUCUGGAUAACCGCAUGAAAGUGUGGCUAAUACGGGAUAUUCUGGGUCUGUCGCAUGAUGGGUCUGGGACAGAUAUUGUUUCGGUGGGGGAUGGGCUCGCGGCCUAUCAGCUUGUUGGUGGGGUGAUGGCCUACCAAGGCGGUGACGGGUAGCCGGCCUGAGAGGGUGGACGGUCACACUGGGACUGAGACCCGGCCCAGACUCCUACGGGAGGCAGCAGUGGGGAAUAUUGCACAAUGGGCGCAAGCCUGAUGCAGCGACGCCGCGUGAGGGAUGGAGGCCUUCGGGUUGUGAACCUCUUUCGCCAGUGAAGCAGGCCUGCCUCGUUUGUGGGUGGGUUGACGGUAGCUGGAUAAGAAGCGCCGGCUAACUACGUG